GGUUACACUGCUAACUAGUUGAUAUUGUGUGAUGCUAAUUUAAGUUGGUCCACUCCAUCACUCCAUGGUGUAUUUAGUAGUAAAUUAGUAAUAAUAUUUAUAUAUGUGGUCAGAUAAUAUUGUUUUAUGGAGUUUGAUUUUCUGUUUGCAGUAAAUGUUCUUAACUGUCUCAUGGAAGUUUGUUAUUGCGUUUGGAUCUUUUAAAUUGUUGCAAGUUGAAGUCCUUUUAGUUUUUUCGGUUUGUGCAGGUGCUUUAUGCG
rnacentral:misc_RNA from 1 species